AGAGUUUGAUUCUGGCUCAGGAUAAACGCUGGCGGCAUGCCUAACACAUGCAAGUCGAACGGAGCGCCUUGGAAGGAGACUUCGGUCAACGGAAGAGGAGGCUUAGUGGCGGACGGGUGAGUAACGCGUGAGGAACCUGCCUCAGAGUGGGGGAUAACACACCGAAAGGUGUGCUAAUACCGCAUAACAUAUGAGAGGGGCAUCCUUUUCAUAUCAAAGAUUUAUUGCUCUGAGAUGGCCUCGCGUCCAAUUAGCUAGUUGGUGAGGUAACGGCCCACCAAGGCGACGAUUGGUAGCCGGACUGAGAGGUUGAACGGCCACAUUGGGACUGAGACACGGCCCAGACUCCUACGGGAGGCAGCAGUGGGGAAUAUUGCACAAUGGGGGGAACCCUGAUGCAGCAAUGCCGCGUGAAGGAUGAAGGUUUUCGGAUUGUAAACUUCUUUUGUACGGGACGAAGAAAGUGACGGUACCGUAAGAAUAAGCCACGGCUAACUACGUGCCAGCAGCCGCGGUAAUACGUAGGUGGCAAGCGUUAUCCGGAUUUACUGGGUGUAAAGGGCGAGUAAGCGGGAUU
rnacentral:rRNA from 1 species